GGCCUAAUGGCCCAAUGGCAAGGCGCUUGACUACGAUUCACUGAAUCCGAUAUCAAGAGAUUCCAGGUUCGACCCCUGGUUAGGUCA